CGAACAGAGAUGGGGAGAUAACAGAGCCUGGGAACAAUGAGUUCUGCUUUGUACGUUUUUGUGCUUCUGAAUAUGAAAUAUAAUUUGAAUACAUGCUUUUCCCAAAGAAGUCCCAAAGCAAAAGACAGAGUUGAAAGAGAUCAUUAAUAUCUUGGAUUCAGUCUGUUCCUAACCAGACGCUGGAUGAUUUGUAUGCCUGAGCGUUCACUUCCUACAGCAG